CCUACGGGCGGCAGCAGUAGGGAAUAUUGCUCAAUGGGGGAAACCCUGAAGCAGCAACGCCGCGUGGAGGAUGAAGGUUUUCGGAUUGUAAACUCCUUUUGUUAGAGAAGAUAAUGACGGUAUCUAACGAAUAAGCACCGGCUAACUCCGUGCCAGCAGCCGCGGUAAUACGGAGGGUGCAAGCGUUACUCGGAAUCACUGGGCGGAAAGAGCGCGUAGGCGGGAUAGCAAGUCAGAUGUGAAAUCCUAUGGCUUAACCAUAGAACUGCAUUUGAAACUGUUAUUCUAGAGUAUGGGAGAGGUAGGUGGAAUUCUUGGUGUAGGGGUAAAAUCCGUAGAGAUCAAGAGGAAUACUCAUCGCGAAGGCGACCUGCUAGAACAUAACUGACGCUGAUGCGCGAAAGCGUGGGGAGCAAACAGGAUUAGAUACCCCGGUAGUC
rnacentral:rRNA from 1 species